AAAAUAUGAUGAGGGAACUUAAUAAUCAUCUCCUUAAAUCUUUCUCAACCCUCAUAAUUUGACUCUCUAUAAAAUUUGGAAAAUAGAGUUAUAUCAUUCCUAAGCUU